GUGAAUCUUAUCAUCCAUGUUAACAAGACAAUUUCUGGUCCCAGCCUAGAGUCAGAAUUUCCGGGGCGUUGGGGGUGGGGUUGGGAAGCUGUGCUGCGCAAGCUUCGCCGGUGAUUCUCAUCACCACAGAAGGACUGGUUUCAGGUGUGCCUUCCUGCCAGGUGAGGGAGAGCCUUUAAAAGAGGUGUAGUCAUCAAGCGCACAGACUUUUUAUUUUCACUGUCUGGGUUUGCCUCUCAGCACUGCUUCGUGAAGUAUCGCCAUCUUAGACAGUUGCCAUGCAAGAGGGUGCUGGUUCUCCUUGGCCUUUACCCGCUGGCCUUGAUGGUUUUAGACCUUUAACCAGACUUAAGUUCCAGCAGUCACCUAAAGUUAUCACCCCUUCCUCAUUGGAGACAAUGAAUCAUCCCCACCCCGUAGAGGGCCCUCUCCUGGAGGAAAAGAAGAACAAUCGGAGAGCAGGUGAGAGUCAAACUUCUGGAGUCAAGAAAUCCUCUUGCCUCAGCCUGCUAAAUGGCUGGAACUACAGACAUGCACCCUGUGCCCAGCAGAAUCUGGAUUUCUUGAUCUCCACUCCUGAUUUGAUAAAGGGAUGGGCAAUUUUCUUU
rnacentral:lncRNA from 1 species